rnacentral:lncRNA from 1 species
UAUGUACAGAAAGAGAAGCAGACAAAGAAAGAUGAAAUAUUUUUGCAGUAGAGAAGUUGUAGCAGCAGUGUGGGAUGCUUUGGGCUUCCUGGAAGCCACUGAGAUUGGGUUUCUAUUGGAAAAGGAAGAGAAAGGAGGAAAUUGAUUCCCCUUCUCUGUGAUGAUCUAUUCAGAUAAGGGAAAAUUAUGACCUCUGACUUAGAUGAUAAUAAUGGCAGGAAUUAUCUAGAUGUAACAGAUGGGGGGAACCUCCCAAAAUAGCUAGUUAUCUUUUCUACCGUUGACAUAAAGGACAUUUUAAGAUAUCCUCUGUCUUCAAAAAGGCAGCAGAGAGCAAUGUGCCCUAACUGCCCAACUAGGAAUGCAGCCCUUAUGGUAUAGCCUUUGCCUAUUAUUUUCCAAAUUGCCAUCAAAUCAUCAAAGAUAAACCAUAUGAGUGGAAAUAAACUUCAGGGGAUGAGACUAGGAAUGGUUACCUAGAGGGACAUAACCUGAGCGCUCAAGGGACAGAAGCCUCAUAUUUGCUACGUGUUCUGUACUGUGUGGUGUACCCAUUUGGGGAAGGAGCCUGUGCCUGCUGGCUCCUGAGAAGAGAAGGUAGUUGUGCAUGAGUAUGUCAUUGUCUGAGCCCAGGUACCCCACCCACCAGGAAGCAACACAGUGGCAGGUCUGUUCCCAACUUCCACAAAGAGCCAGCACCUAAGCCACAUGCUAGACAUUUGGUUUUAUGACCCUGAGUCACUUUUUGCCUUCCCUAGAAAACUUAUUUGUACUUUAAGUGAGGUAGAAAGAAAAAGAUUUCAGAUUAUCCUAUCUGUGACAAAUAUAAUUUAAAAUUUCUGAUCCUGGACCGGUUAGAUAGGUGAAGAACACAGAUUCCAACAAUUUGCAGUCAGUGAGAUCUCACGAGUAGCAUUUCUGUAACCUGCUGAAAUGAGAAUUUGUACAGGUGUAUAAAUAGGUGGGCUUUUUCAUAAACAAACCAUUCUGUUUUUAUGACUUGUGAAAUAUUUGCUUCGUGUAGUAGAAAGAGCACUGCCCGGAGAGUUGGAGGCCUGAAUUCUAGUUCCACACCUUCUAGUAGCAAAAGGUGACCCAGAGGACAAGUCAGGUCUCUUUACUGAGUUGGAGCUGCCCCAUCCUAUCCCCAGAGCUCCUGAUUCAGUCAAUCUGGGGGAGACCCAGACUCUUCCCAUGUAAAUUCUGAUGCUUGGGCAGCUUGGGAUCCACUGGACUAGAAUGAGUCUAAGGGCCCCUCUGGCUCCAGCAUUCUGUGA